AAAGCAGGACGCAAUUACAGUGCUUCAUUUGGUGGAAGUACUGCCAUUAUCCUGCUGAGAGUAACAACCUGCUUUAGAGACACAGCU